rfam:Streptomyces sp. NBRC 110611 DNA, contig: scaffold00013.
ACAUGCAUCGGGGCGAGAGCAGGGCGCCCCGGUAUCAGAAAGACAAACACCGUGCCACGGAAUGUGUGCGCACAUAUGGGCGUU